rnacentral:rRNA from 1 species
AGUGAACGCUGGCGGCAGGCCUAACACAUGCAAGUCGAACGGCAGCACAGUAAGAGCUUGCUCUUACGGGUGGCGAGUGGCGGACGGGUGAGGAAUACAUCGGAAUCUACUUUUUCGUGGGGGAUAACGUAGGGAAACUUACGCUAAUACCGCAUACGACCUACGGGUGAAAGCAGGGGAUCUUCGGACCUUGCGCGAUUGAAUGAGCCGAUGUCGGAUUAGCUAGUUGGCGGGGUAAAGGCCCACCAAGGCGACGAUCCGUAGCUGGUCUGAGAGGAUGAUCAGCCACACUGGAACUGAGACACGGUCCAGACUCCUACGGGAGGCAGCAGUGGGGAAUAUUGGACAAUGGGCGCAAGCCUGAUCCAGCCAUACCGCGUGGGUGAAGAAGGCCUUCGGGUUGUAAAGCCCUUUUGUUGGGAAAGAAAAGCAGCAGGUUAAUACCCCGCUGUUCUGACGGUACCCAAAGAAUAGGCACCGGCUAACUUCGUG